AGACCGGCCACUGUAGAAAUACACUUAUUAAAAUCCCUUUCAGAAAACUUACAGCGCGAACCAGUUCGUCUUCGGUAGAAUUUCUCCGUUACUGCGUCACCCCGCUCCUUCCGUUAUUCGGUCGUUCUCACGUCACUCCGGAAGUAGAACGAGAAUUGAAUUAUGGCAGGUGCCAUGUUAUCCAGAACAUUUGAUAUUGUUGAGGCGAUGAUAAAGCACGGACAACGUACACUGUCGAAUCAUUGAUUCACAGCCCAGAAUGUUGCGUUCAAAGCCAAAAGUGAAGCGGAGUGUGCUGCAGUCCUUUGGUGCAGGUGUUGUGUGUAAGUGAGCAGAGACGAGUUAAAGCACCAGCCGGGGCUGGCUGAGGCAGCAGAGGAGAGAGUGUAUAAGACCGCACAAAGAGCUUGAAGAUGGCUGAUGUGGAUCCCCAUAUGAAGCCUGCAGGCCAUACCUUCACAGGUGCACCCCAUCAGCUGACAACCCCCUCAGCUCCGCCCACUGGCUCCAUGCACAGAUAGGCAACCAGGAGAACCAGCAGGAAGAGGGAGGAAGAUAGAGGGUCGUCAAACCUCGGCCUCAUCGAGGCCUAUCAAGAACAUCUGUAAAAUAUCCUUCUACCAUCUCUGCAACAUCGCCAAACUCCACCCUGCCCUAACAGCUGAUGCCGAGUAGCUCGUUCAUGCAUUUACAAGCAACUGCAAGAGUCUCCAAACAAACUGCUCCAAAAACUGCACAACAUCCCAACAAGCAGCACUGCCCGGAUCCUGGGAAGAGUCUGGAACCAUGACCACAUCAACCUCACCCUCAAGUCUGUCUCUUGGAUAUCAAUCACAUAUCACAAUGACUGCUUGCUCACCAUACCAAGAUGCCCCCAGAUACCUCACAGACCUCCUAUAGCUCAACAAAUUCCCCAGGGCCUUCAGAUCUGCAAGCUGUAACCUGCUCGUAAAUUUUUCUUGUAAAGCGUCUCUGAGAUGCCAUAAAGCUCUCUAUUAUUCCAAUCGAUUAUUAUUAUUAGGAAUGUCCAACUAUUGGUGUGUGUGAGCUCAACCACAUCGACCCAUUUCUAGUUGAACACACCCCAUAGAACUGUGUGCACCUGUCACAUUCCCAGCAAUGGUACAAAGGGCUUGGAUAUGCUCAACCACAACCAGUAAAGGCAUUUGUGAACUUAUAAACUUUCUAGUAAUUUUCUUUCUGUCGGGUUUAAGGUUAGUAAAGUAACAACAAAAUCAAGUGUCUAUUUGUCUAGUAAAUUUGAUUUGAAUGGAAGAUUUACCUUUUCUAUCCAUCAUAGUUGCAUCAGUACAUUCAUAAUAGGGUUCUUCCUUUGAACCAACGGUGUCCAUUUAUAAUCCGAAUGACUAAGCUUGUAUCAGCACAUGCACCCAAAUUAAACAAAAGGGCAUAGUGCAUGACUAUCCUUUAAAAUGUGUACUUACACUAGCCCGAAAAAAACACAGGUUUGCUGUUUGUAUGUGUUUACAUGUAGUACGUUUUACAUAGUCCUGGGGCUUGAGCCUGCCACCUGUCAAGUAGCAGGGUCGAUGCACACAUCAUGUUCUUCUUAUAGAAAUAGCUAACCGAAUCACUUCUUGUGUGGUAUUAAGAACCUACGUAAUAUAAGGAAGAAGGGGAUGCAGGUAAUAUACCACAAGCAUGACAAACACACACAAACAAGGCC
ensembl:lncRNA